CAAACAACGUCCAACAAGCGUACUCGUAACGCUUCUCCAGCACACAGCGAGACACGCGUACACACAAGCAUCGCCUCAGCUCGCCUAUUACCGGUAGGGGCCAGCCUCAGCAUGCGAGCUGCACCGACUCGCCUGGCUCCGAGCACGGCGGUGCCACUUUGCGGUUCUCACUGUCGAUCACGAGCUUACCAUUUUGCUGCAGCCGGCGCGGCUGGAUGGCGUCGGCGCCGCCGCUUGGCUGGUGUGUCUGUGACAACGACGCACACCGUCGCCCCCGCCGUCUCUGCCUUGCCAUUCUCACUCUCCACAGCCCGGCGCACAUACUACUGGCCAUACCCGGAGAACCUGGUGCCGGAAGGAGCGACCGCGUCUCCGUUCCAGUCCAGUCCUGUGCCGAGUGUGCGAGAGCGCAUCAUCCGGGAGUACGCGCUCGGACCGCUUUUCGGCAGUCGCACGCCGUGCUGUGUGCUCGGAUUCGCCGACACAGCCAGAGAUGUCGUAGCGUGCAAACGCGACGUGCGUCGGUGGGUUGCACGGGCACUGGGAAAGUCGGAGGCGGAUGUGGAGCUUGGCUCUCUCGUGCAAGCCAAAGAAAUGCUGCUCCACCGUAGCGGCACCGAUGAGUCGCCACGGCUUGGCGACGGGCCCGGGAGCCGGCCCGAUGCAGAGCGGCGUCGUGUGACGCGAUACGCACGCCUUCCUGUGCAAGCGCGCACGCUCUUGGAGGUGUACCUGCCAGGGGAAGAGCACGGCGAGGUCGACGCCGCGGCAGACGCGGACGCAGUCAUCCUCGCUCACGGCUACUUUCUACAGGAACAACUUCACCGGCACAUGACCACGACAGCGUCCUCUGGGACAGACCCCACCGUCCUGAGCGACAGCGAGGGCAGCCAGCGUGAAAAGCCGGUCCGCAAGCUGCAGUCGCACUGUCAGGGGUACAGCGAAAGAAAUGACGAGGCGGAUGUGGAGUCGAGCGUGGCUGCCCUGCACGAUGUGUGCGGCGUCAUCUACUGCGAGGUGCCGGUGCUAGAUGAGAGCGACUUCGUCUUCGACCAGCUGUGCGGCAAGGAGGUGGAUGAGGAGACGACGGAGCGGGUGACGGACCGCUGGACGCGGCGCGUGAUGCAACAGCAGGCGCAGUUGUAGGCUCCGUCAACAUUAGCUUGCAUGCUGACUCGCUUCGUCUGCGCUUGUGUAGGUAUAUAUAUAUGUUGUGUGUGUGUGUGUGUGUAUGUGGGUGGGUGUGGGUGUGGGAGAGUGAGAGUAUGUACGCGAAGAGAAGGCAUACGCGCACGCACACACACACACACACAGCUGGUUGUCUAAGCGGGCGGCUCAGCACAGAAACGUGAGGGUGACGCUCUUGAAUAGGGUCGGAUUGUGCGUUGCUGCACGUCAGGCAGCGGAGGAGUUGAAAAGCAGAGCCGCAGCUCGUCGUGCGGCAGAGCGCUCUGACGUGGAAGAAAAGCGGAAGGACGAGAAUCUUUGGGAGGGAGGGGGAGGGGGACAACGAAUGCAGUGAAGCUCCUCUUCCUGUCACAGCACCUACUCACACGGACAGCAGCUGAGGCGGAGGGGGGUGGCCCUAUGUGCUUCUCCACGUGCUCACACAUCUCGCAUCUCUCUCAAGUCCCCCAUCUCUCUUGCUUGCCCACUCGCUUUAG
rnacentral:misc_RNA from 1 species